CGCAUUUGCAUGGUUGGGCCCUCCCCUUCUCAACAGUUGAAGAGGUGAAGGGAGAGGUUAAGGGAGGCUCUGCUCAGCUGUGAGGCAACAGAAGGCAGUAUCGGUGCUGACCUCCACCAUGGCCUGGUCCCCUCUCCUCCUCACCCUCCUCGCUCACUGCACAGGGUCCUGGGCCCAGUCAGUGUUGACUCAGCCGCCCUCAGUGUCGGGGUCCCUGGGCCAGAGGGUCACCAUCUCCUGCACUGGAAGCAGCUCCAACAUCGGGGGUGGUAAUUAUGUGAGCUGGUACCAACAAGUCCCAGGAACGGCCCCCAGUCUCCUGAUUUAUGAGAAUAACAAACGACCCUCUGGGGUCCCCGAUCGAUUCUCUGGCUCCAAGUCUGGCAGCUCGGGCUCCCUGACCAUCACUGGGCUGCAGGCUGACGACGAGGCUGAUUACUAUUGUGCAUCAUUGGACGAUAGUCUCAGUGCUCACACAGAGCUCCAGGCCUGCCCCUCUCCAUCUCCUGCAGCAGCUCCCCGGGGGACUCAGCCUUCUCCCCAGUGCACCCCCAUCCUGCACCAUAACCAGGGCAUCCGGGAGGCCAACCCCUAG